rnacentral:rRNA from 1 species
UACGGGGGGGACGAGCGUUGUUCGGAUUUAUUGGGCGUAAAGGGCGCGUAGGUGGGCUUUCAAGUCGGUUGUGAAAACCCCGGGCUUAACCCGGGGCCUGCAUUCGAUACUGUUAGUCUUGAGUACGGUAGAGGAGAGUGGAAUUCCAGGUGUAGCGGUGAAAUGCGUAGAUAUCUGGAAGAACACCAGUAGCGAAGGCGGCUCUCUGGAACGAUACUGACACUAAAGCGCGAAGGCUUGGGUAGCAAACAGG